AUUGAACGCUGGCGGCAGGCCUAACACAUGCAAGUCGAACGGUAGCACAGAGGAGCUUGCUCCUUGGGUGACGAGUGGCGGACGGGUGAGUAAUGUCUGGGGAUCUGCCCGAUGGAGGGGGAUAACUACUGGAAACGGUAGCUAAUACCGCAUAACGUCGCAAGACCAAAGUGGGGGACCUUCGGGCCUCACACCAUCGGAUGAACCCAGAUGGGAUUAGCUAGUAGGUGGGGUAAUGGCUCACCUAGGCGACGAUCCCUAGCUGGUCUGAGAGGAUGACCAGCCACACUGGAACUGAGACACGGUCCAGACUCCUACGGGAGGCAGCAGUGGGGAAUAUUGCACAAUGGGCGCAAGCCUGAUGCAGCCAUGCCGCGUGUAUGAAGAAGGCCUUCGGGUUGUAAAGUACUUUCAGCGGGGAGGAAGGGAUGAUGGUUAAUAGCCAUUGUCAUUGACGUUACCCGCAGAAGAAGCACCGGCUAACUCCGUGCCAGCCGCCGCAGUAA
rnacentral:rRNA from 1 species